UAGGGAAUCUUCCACAAUGGACGAAAGUCUGAUGGAGCAACGCCGCGUGAGUGAUGAAGGGUUUCGGCUCGUAAAACUCUGUUGUUGGAGAAGAACAGGUGAUAGAGUAACUGUUAUCAUCUUGACGGUAUCCAACCAGAAAGCCACGGCUAACUACGUGCCAGCAGCCGCGGUAAUACGUAGGUGGCAAGCGUUGUCCGGAUUUAUUGGGCGUAAAGCGAGCGCAGGCGGUUUUUUAGGUCUGAUGUGAAAGCCUUCGGCUUAACCGGAGAAGGGCAUCGGAAACCGGGAGACUUGAGUGCAGAAGAGGACAGUGGAACUCCAUGUGUAGCGGUGAAAAUGCGUAGAUAUAUGGAAGAACACCAGUGGCGAAGGCAGCGUCUGGUCUGUAACUGACGCUGAGGCUCGAAAGCAUGGGUAGCGAACAGGAUUAGGAUACCCUGGUAGUCCAUGCCGUAAAC
rnacentral:rRNA from 1 species